rnacentral:rRNA from 1 species
UGGGGAAUAUUGGACAAUGGGGGAAACCCUGAUCCAGCAAUGCCGCGUGAGUGAAGAAGGCCUUCGGGUUGUAAAGCUCUUUCAGCAGGGAAGAUAAUGACGGUACCUGCAGAAGAAGCCCCGGCUAACUCCGUGCCAGCAGCCGCGGUAAGACGGAGGGGGCUAGCGUUGUUCGGAAUUACUGGGCGUAAAGGGCGCGUAGGCGGCUCUUCAAGUUAGACGUGAAAGCCCUGGGCUUAACCUAGGAAUAGCGUUUAAUACUGGAGGGCUAGAGAUCGGUAGAGGGAAAUGGAAUUCCUAGUGUAGAGGUGAAAUUCGUAGAUAUUAGGAAGAACACCAGAGGCGAAGGCGGUUUCCUGGGCCGAUACUGACGCUGAGGCGCGAAAGCGUGGGGAGCAAACAG